UUCUUCGGAGAGUUUGAUCCUGGCUCAGGAUGAACGCUGGCGGCGUGCCUAAUACAUGCAAGUCGAGCGAACUGAUUAGAAGCUUGCUUCUAUGACGUUAGCGGCGGACGGG
rnacentral:rRNA from 1 species